UGUUGCUGCUCUCGAAGCUAAGCCUUCCCUCCGUCGCUGAACCUGGGAAAAAAUGAGAACAUUACAGAGUAUUGCAGGUGCAGCCAAGGAAACUGCAAGAUCGUUCGAGGAGAUAAUCCAGUUCGGGCCGUUCAACUCAGCGGUUCAACGCAGAUGGAAGAAGAAGCCCACUGUCACUGCUCAGGUCCGCUUAGAGACUCAUCGAACCAGGGACCACAAGCUCGACAAGCUCACUUCCCGUCUCAACCAGCUCAAUCUCGUGCUCGGCCUCCACAAGGUCAUGUCCACUCGGAAGCGAGGCCCCUUCGUCUCCGUCCAGCUGGUUUCCCGCUGGAAGAACGUCGUCGGCCUCAACAUCUCCGCCGGCGCUUUCCUUCGGAAAUACCCCCACAUUUUCGAGACAUUCACGCAUCCCGUUCGACGAAAUGUCUGUUGUAGGAUAAGGGCGAAAAUGAAGAAAUUGAUUGAAGAAGAAGAGGCCGUAAUUAGGGAAUUAGAAUCGGAAAAUGUAGGGCGUCUAAAGAAGCUAUUGAUGAUGUCGGUGAACGGGACACUUCAUAUUCAUGCCUUGAGGCUGGUUAGGAGAGAGUUGGCAUUGCCUCUGGAUUUUCGAGAAUCAAUACUCGGAAAAUACGCUUGUGAUUUCCAUCUGGUUGAUGUGGAGAUUGUGUCUUUGGCCUGUAGUAGAGACGAGGAUUUGGGCGUGGCUGAGGUUGAAAAGUGGAGAGAGAAAGAGUACAGGGAGAAAUGGUUGAGUGAGUUUGAAACGCAGUAUGCAUUCCCUAUCAAUUUCCCCACCGGGUUUAAGAUCGAGGCAGGUUCUAGGGAGAAACUGAAGAAUUGGCAGAGGCUUCCUUAUGUGAAGCCAUAUGAGAGGAAAGAGGUGGUUAAAGUCCGUACUUGCGGAGGGAUUCAAAGGUUUGAAAAGCGAGCUGUUUCGAUUCUUCACGAGUUCUUGUGCUUGACUGUGGAGAAAAUGGUUCCAGUUGAACGGUUAGUGCACUUCAGGAAGGAUUUUGGUAUGGAAGGAAUUAAUGUGCUCGAGCUUGUUCUGAAGCACCCGGGAAUUUUCUACGUAUCUACCAAAGGAAAUAACCAAACUGUUAUCCUGAGAGAAGCAUAUGGUAAAGGGUGUUUGAUUGAUCCAAACUCAGUUUAUGUUGUCCGGAGAAAAAUGUUGGACCUUGUUUUCCUGGGGCGUCGGAAUACUAGAGAGUUAAAAACUUGGAAACAAAUCAAGGACAAGAGUAACAAUGUAGUAGGCAAUAACAAUGGAGGGGGGACAAGGGAUGGUGACUGGGUUAUUCCAUUGCUUGAGAGUUCUACUGAUUAAAAUAUUGGCAAUGAGCAGAAAGAAAUUGUUGGGUAAGUUUAUUCAAUGAAAAAUGACUUAUCUGUGCUCAGUUGCAGCUUCUUGUGUGCUGACACCAAGAAGAUUUGGUUACUGUAGUUGACUUCUCAAGAGAACUCACUUUAAAGAAGCCUAAAUUUGGGGCAAUGCUAUUCCGGGCAGAGUGCUUAGGGCCACUAAUGAAUCAAGCAGUUGUGGAGGUAUUUGACGUUAUCACCCGCGCUUAGUAGUCCUGAGAUUCCAGUUCGAGUCCAUACAACACUCUAAAAGAAAUGAAAAACAAGCACCAGUUCAAAAAGAAAUGCUCAUUGUGAUGCUGAUUCAAAAUUUGUUUGGUAGGGGUGCGCAUAAUCGGGUUGAUUCCGAUUCGGUAGGAGUGUCCGCUCAAUUCAAUCCGGUAUGCCACUGGGUACCAACUUUUAAACCCAAAACUAAAUCAUAACACACAAUCA